GAAAAAUCAUGGCAAUUAUAUUUUGGGCAUAAAAUACAUUCAUAAAAGUUAAGGUUUGGUCAAAAAUAAUAAACCUAAAAGAAAAUGGAAAUUUUAGGGCAUUUUGUGUUAAAUGCCUAAUUUUGCCGAAAUGGGGAAUUUUAUUCCAUGAAUGGACCUUAGGUUAAAUUUUAUUAUGUGAUUAAUUAAAUUAAAUGUGAGAGACAUUUAAUUUAAUUAAUUAAUGUUAAGUUUGGUGAUUAAAACUUAAUAAGAGUGAAAAAAGGUGUCAAAAGUCAAUUUGGACUUUUCUUCUUAUAAACCUUUAUUAACCUUUAUAAAAAAUAAAAAAUAAAUAAAAAAAAUUAAUGGUCACAUAUAUGGAAAAGGGUGGCUGGCCAUGUGCUAUUUUAGAGUGGUGUGAACCCAAUUUUAUAAAAUUCAAAUCCCAUUUAAUUAAGAAGUCAAGUGGGCAAGUGGGUAGAAAAGCACUCAAGUGUUUUGUGAUAUUUUAAAGAGUUGUGUGAGCCAUUCUAACCCCCAAAUCCGACCACUCUCCCUCCCUCAUUCACUCUCAUCUGAUUUUUGAAGACUCUCUCAAGUGUUCUCUCCAUUUUGAACCCCAAGAACACCAAAGAAACUUGGAAGCUAAGUCUUGGUCUAGGAAGGGUUUUCCCUAAGUUGGUUAGGGUUUUUGAAAGGUUUUGAAGGAGUCAAAGCUUAUAGGAAGGUCCAAACCUUAAGCAAGAACACCAAAGAGUAUUGGCUAAGCGUAACUGGACUGAACGUUGGAGGGUGAAAUCCUGCUGAGCGCUAAGGACUCCAAGUAAGAACAAGGGCAAGGCAGAGCAGUGAGCGCUGGAGUCUUCCUUGCAAAUGUACAUGUGGACCGACCUUUUGGGAAGCCUUUUUAUUUUUGGAAAUGUUGUGUAAUUUUCCUAAACUAGGCUCACUCUAAUCUUUGUAAAACAUGUUUGUAACUAAAUGUUAAGUAUGGCCAUACGACUUUUUAAAAAGUUUUUUUUCUAUGGGUUUUUGAGACAUUUUGUUAAAUGAAAACAUUUAUAUUCCGCAUUAUCGAG